GUCUUUUCAAUAUAUUUUAAAGUCUGGUCUGCUCACUGAUUUUUAAAGAGCCGCAGUAUACUGACUGUGCAAAGGUAGCAUAAUCAAUAGUUUCUUAAUUGGGAUCUAGUAUGAAAGAUUAGACAAGGGAUUUAUUUUCUUUAUUUUUAUUUAUUGAAUUUUAAUUUUAAGUGAAAAUGCUUAAGUUAAUUUAUGGGACGAGAAGACCCUAUAGAUUUUUAUUAUUUAUUUAAGUUUUAUAUUUUGAUUUAUUAAAAUAAUUUAAUUGGGGCGAUUUUGUAAUAUAUAAAACUUAAUUUUUUAAUACCAUAAGUUAUUGAAUUUUUUAAUCUAAAAUUUUUAAAGAAAGAUUAAAUUACCUUAGGGAUAACAGCGUAAUUUUAUUUACGAGUUCAUAUCUAUAAUAAAGUUUGCGACCUCGAUGUUGAAUUAAGAUAAUGUAUUUGAGUAGAAAUUAAUAUAAUUAGUCUGUUCGACUAUUAAAUUCU
rnacentral:rRNA from 1 species